rnacentral:rRNA from 1 species
AAAGUGCGGGGCUCAACCCCGUGAGGGGAUGGAAACUAUCUUUCUUGAGUGCAGGAGAGGAAAGCGGAAUUCCUAGUGUAGCGGUGAAAUGCGUAGAUAUUAGGAGGAACACCAGUGGCGAAGGCGGCUUUCUGGACUGUAACUGACGCUGAGGCUCGAAAGCGUGGGGAGCGAACAGGAUUAGAUACCCUGGUAGUCCACGCCGUAAACGAUGAAUGCUAGGUGUAGGAGGUAUCGACCCCUUCUGUGCCGGAGUUAACGCAAUAAGCAUUCCGCCUGGGGAGUACGGCCGCAAGGCUGCAACUCAAAUGAAUUGACGG